rnacentral:rRNA from 1 species
UACGUAGGGUGCAAGCGUUGUCCGGAAUUAUUGGGCGUAAAGAGCUCGUAGGCGGUCUGUCACGUCGGCUGUGAAAUCCCGAGGCUCAACCCCGGGCCUGCAGUCGAUACGGGCAGACUAGAGUGCGGUAGGGGAGACUGGAAUUCCUGGUGUGGCGGUGAAAUGCGCAGAUAUCAGGAGGAACACCGGUGGCGAAGGCGGGUCUCUGGGCCGUAACUGACGCUGAGGAGCGAAAGCGUGGGGAGCGAACAGG